rnacentral:rRNA from 1 species
UACGUAGGCAGCAAGCGUUAUUCGGAAUUACUGGGCGUAAAGAGUGUGUAGGCGGUGCUCUAAGUCUGUUGUGAAAUCUCCCGGCUUAACUGGGAGGGUGCGGCGGAGACUGGAGUGCUAGAGUGUGGGAGAGGUAAGCGGAAUUCCUGGUGUAGCGGUGAAAUGCGUAGAUAUCAGGAGGAACACCUGUGGUGUAGACAGCUUACUGGACCACGACUGACGCUGAGACACGAAAGCGUGGGUAGCAAACAGG